UACAGAGGAGGCAAGCGUUGUUCGGAAUUACUGGGCGUAAAGGGCCAGUAGGCGGCCAACUAAGUCGGAUGUGAAAUCCCCAGGCUUAACCUGGGAACUGCAUCCGAUACUGGAUGGCUUGAAUUCGGGAGAGGGAUGCAGAAUUCCAGGUGUAGCGGUGAAAUGCGUAGAUAUCUGGAGGAAUACCGGUGGCGAAGGCGGCAUCCUGGACCGACAUUGACGCUGAACGGCGAAAGCUAGGGGAGCAAACGGG
rnacentral:rRNA from 1 species